GCAAUAGAAAGGAAUUUCUCAAGGGUGGUCGGCACACUCCCAACUAGAAAGGGGGUGAUGCUGAGUGACAGUUUUCGAAUCAUUAAUGCUGGCAAUUUCAUUUGCUAGUUUGAUCAUAACGGUACUGUCAUUUCAUAACCAUAAUAAAUAAUCCACCCUUGAGUUAGCGGCUCCGGGUGGAUUAUUUUCGCCUAUUGGCCGAUUCCCUUUGAGGGAACCUUCUAUUGCUGACCGGACAUGUGCCAGCAUGUUCG
rnacentral:sRNA from 1 species